rnacentral:tRNA from 4 species
GGCUGUGUAGCUCAGUUGGUGAGAGCGCACGACUCAUAAUCGUGAGGUCGGCGGUUCGAAUCCGCCCACAGCUACCA